CUUCAGUGAUGAUACGAUGACGAGUCGGAUCGAGGCCCGUCUCUGAGGACUCUGGCUCAGGCUCACGUUAUGUGCGUCUGAUUCAGUUCCUCAGAGAUCACGUGUCCUCUCAGAUUGAAGAUGUAGAGGCAUUUGUCUGAGAAGG